AGUGAACGCUGGCGGCAGGCCUAACACAUGCAAGUCGAGCGGCAGCGCGGGGGCAACCCUGGCGGCGAGCGGCGGACGGGUGAGGAAUUAGUCGGAAUCUGCCUUUUUGUGGGGGAUAACGUAGGGAAACUUACGCUAAUACCGCAUACGUCCUACGGGAGAAAGUGGGGGACCGCAAGGCCUCACGCAGAAAGAUGAGCCGACGACCGAUUAGCUAGUUGGUGGGGUAAAGGCCCACCAAGGCGACGAUCGGUAGCUGGUCUGAGGGGAUGAUCAGCCACACUGGGACUGAGACACGGCCCAGACUCCUACGGGAGGCAGCAGUGGGGAAUAUUGGACAAUGGGCGCAAGCCUGAUCCAGCCAUGCCGCGUGUGUGAAGAAGGCCUUCGGGUUGUAAAGCACUUUUGUCCGGAAAGAAAUCCCUGGAGCUAAUACCUUCGGGGGAUGACGGUACCGGAAGAAUAAGCACCGGCUAACUUCGUG
rnacentral:rRNA from 1 species